rnacentral:rRNA from 1 species
GUGAGGAAUUUUCCGCAAUGGGCGAAAGCCUGACGGAGCAAUGCCGCGUGAAGGAUGAAGGCCUAUGGGUUGUAAACUUCUUUUCUCAGAAAAGAAUUAUGACGGUAUCUGAGGAAUAAGGAUCGGCUAACUCUGUGCCAGCAGCCGCGGUAAGACAGAGGAUGCAAGCGUUAUCCGGAAUGAUUGGGCGUAAAGCGUCUGUAGGUUGUUUAAAAAGUAUUCUGUCAAAGAUUAGGGCUUAACCCUAGAUAGGCAGAAUAAACUUUUAAGCUAGAGUUUGGUAGAGGCAGAGGGAAUUCCCGGUGGAGCGGUGAAAUGCGUAGAUAUCGGGAGGAACACCAAAGGCGAAGGCACUCUGCUGGGCCAAUACUAACACUGAGAGACGAAAGCGAGGGGAGCAAAUGGGAUUAGAUACCCUAGUAGUCC